GCCUCAUGAUCACAAAAUGGUUGCUGCACCUCUGGGUAUUACAUCUAUAUUCAAGGCAGGAAAAAGCUGAAGUACAUCUGUCCACUAUAUCAGGAAAGCAAUUUUUAUCAGACUGCCCACUUCCCCGUCAGAUUUUUAGCUACUCUUUAGUCAGAAGCGUGUCAUAGACAUAUCCAGUCAUGAAGACAGCUUGGGAAUUCAUGCACUUAGCUUUCCAGCAUCUAUAGCAGAAGCAGAUCAGGAAGAAAAGGGUGGGAAAAAGGUGUGGAGUUACCCAGUCAACAAUGUCUGCCAAAGGAGAAUGAACCUAAAAGCACUUCAAAGCCAUUUAACAGCAAAUUUUGUUAGCAAAUUAUCUUUCCAAAGCACUUAUCUUAGUUUUCUUAAAAAUGAUCAUGUUUGCGUGGACUGCUCUCCACCGCCAGGUCUCUUCCACAGACCCCUCUCACUUUAGCCCUCAGUCUGUUUCAGUUCCGUCUUUUCUCUCAGUUCAUACAAACAAGGGAGUCGCCCCCAGUGGAGCCCCGGCUCCCCAACAGGAGGCGGGCCCGGGGGCGGAGUCAAUCCUGAAGGCCACGCCCUCUGGGAAAGUGCGGGGCAUGCAAAUUUGAAAUGAAAGCCCGGGAACGCCGGAACAAGCACGAGUGUAAGAUUUCCCUUUUACACGUGGAGAAUAAGAACUCAGCCCAAGUGUGUAAUGGCAUCAAUAGUGGUGUGGACGAGACAAAGGGAAUGAGAUUCUUGAUUAAUUCACCACUUCCCAGCCAUUGGAAUAAGAAGUACCUCUGUAGCGUUUGCUGGUGCCCACUCAGACCUCUGCCUUUAUUUUUGUGGACAAAGAAAAAUUUACAGGUAACUUUUUCUCCCUUUCUAGUCUACAGCUCACAGCCAGCCUAUCAUAAAGCUGCUCAUAGUUUCAAAAAAUUAUUUCAUUCAUCU
ensembl:lincRNA